rnacentral:rRNA from 1 species
UAGUCCCAGCCGUAAACGGUGCACACUUGGUGUGGGAGGUAUUGACCCCUUCCGUGCCGGAGCUAACGCGUUAAGUGUGCCGCCUGGGGAGUACGGCCGCAAGGCUAAAACUCAAAGAAAUUGACGGGGGGCCCGCACAAGCGGAGGAGCAUGUGGCUUAAUUCGAUGCAACGCGAAGAACCUUACCUGGGCUUGACAUGGCGACCCUUCGGGGGUGGAGGUGAAAGUCUCCUUUACGAUCACAGGUGCUGCAUGGCUGUCGUCAGUUCGUGCUGUGAGGUGUUGGGUUAAGUCCCGCAACGAACGCAACCCCUUGUGUUUAGUUGCCACCGGCGGUGAUGAGCCGCCGAGCACUCUAGACAGACUGCCCGUACAAGCGGGAGGAAGGUGGGGAUGACGUCAAGUCAGUAUGGCCCUUACGCCCAGGGCUGCACACGUGCUACAAUGGUCGGUACAAUGGGAAGCUAGACCGCGAGGUGGAGCAAAUCCUCAAAGCCGGCCCAAGUUCGGAUUGGAGU